rnacentral:sRNA from 1 species
UCCCUUUCCAUAUGGCCUCACGGUCAGAG